GCGGCCCGCUGCACGCGCACUGGCCACCCGGAGGGCCCCGCCAGCCUGGGAACCCGGAGGCCGCGGGGCGUCAGUAUGCGAAGCUGCCUCCCACACCAGACCCGCUGCCCCGAAGCCCUUCGGCCUUAGAGCGUUAUCGUUGUCGCUGUCUUUCCCCCCGGCGGCCAGAGGGGCCGUCCUAACGCCGCCGGCGCCCGCGUGCCCGCGUCUGCAGCAGGAUUCCUGCGGAGCUGUACUUGUUUUACAUCCAUGUGAACUGCUGUCAUCACUACUGUGUCCAAGCCCAGAGGAUGAACUGGAAAAGAAGAGAGGGGGAAAAUAAUAAAAAGAGGAAAUUGGUUUUCACAACACACUCAAAGCCUGAGUAACAGAGGAGAACUUUAAUUAUCUCCAGUCACAAAGAGAGACAGGAAAUUUGGACUUUUAAUUAGCCAUUUGGAGUGCAGUUGGAUAUUUUUUUAGCUAGAUAAUUUAAACGCGAAUAAUUCAAGUCUGACUAAAUGAAAGUCACAUAAUCAGAAUGCAGAUAAUUGAAUUUCUACUGCAUUCAUUAAUUCGGUGUGGAGGUGUGUGUGAAGACUACUAUGAUGAGCUGUCACAGCUCAAUAAAAUCUCAGUCAAUUAAUUUUUUCAUUAUCUUAGUAUUACAUCAACAAAAAAGUGAAGUAUGCGUAUAUUUCUAUACGCAUGCAUAUGUGCGCUGUGUGUUAUAUAAAUACAUACACGUUAAAUCAAAACGCAGGGAAAUACCUUUCUGAAUCAUAA